GAAAAGAAACCAACAGGGAUUGCCCUAGUAACGGCGAGUGAAGCGGCAACAGCUCAAAUUUGAAAUCUGGCCUCGGCCCGAGUUGUAAUUUGCAGAGGAUGUUUCUGGCGCGGUGCCUUCCGAGUUCCCUGGAACGGGACGCCACAGAGGGUGAGAGCCCCGUAUGGUUGGACACCAAGCCUGUGUGAAACUCCUUCGACGAGUCGAGUAGUUUGGGAAUGCUGCUCUAAAUGGGAGGUAAAUCUCUUCUAAAGCUAAAUACCGGCCAGAGACCGAUAGCGCACAAGUAGAGUGAUCGAAAGAUGAAAAGCACCUUGAAAAGGGGGUUAAACAGUACGUGAAAUUGUUGAAAGGGAAGCGCUCAUGACCAGACUUGUGCCGGGCGGUUCAUCCGGGGUUCUCCCCGGUGCACUCCGCCCGGCUCAGGCCAGCAUCGGUUCUCGUUGGGGGAUAAGAACGGUAGGAACGUGGCCCUCCCUCGGGAGGGUGUUAUAGCCUGCCGUACGAUACCCUGAUGGGGACCGAGGUUCGCGCUCCGCAAGGAUGCUGGCGUAAUGGUCAUCAGCGACCCGUCUUGAAACACGGACCAAGGAGUCGUCCAUUAGAGCGAGCGUUUGGGUGUAAAACCCGCACGCGUAAUGAAAGUGAAAUUAGGUGAGAGCUUCGGCGCAUCAUCGACCGAUCCUGAUGUUCUCGGAUGGAUUUGAGUAAGAGUUUUAACGGACGGACCCGAAAGACAGUGAACUAUGCUUGUAUAGGGUGAAGCCAGAGGAAACUCUGGUGGAGGCUCGCAGCGGUUCUGACGUGCAAAUCGAUCGUCAAAUAUGAGCAUGGGGGCGAAAGACUAAUCGAACUGUCUAGUAGCUGGUUACCGCCGAAGUUUCCCUCAGGAUAGCAGUGUUGACCUUCAGUUUUAUGAGGUAAAGCGAAUGAUUAGGGACUCGGGGGCGCUUUUUAGCCUUCAUCCAUUCUCAAACUUUAAAUAUGUAAGAAGCCCUUGUUACUUAGUUGAACGUGGGCAUUCGAAUGUACCAACACUAGUGGGCCAUUUUUGGUAAGCAGAACUGGCGAUGCGGGAUGAACCGAACGCGGGGUUAAGGCGCCAGAGUGUACGCUCAUCAGACACCACAAAAGGCGUUAGUACAUCUUGACAGCAGGACGGUGGCCAUGGAAGUCGGAAUCCGCUAAGGACUGUGUAACAACUCACCUGCCGAAUGUACUAGCCCUGAAAAUGGAUGGCGCUCAAGCGUACCGCCCAUACCCCGCCCUCAGGGUAGAAACGAUGCCCUGAGGAGUAGGCGGCCGUGGAGGUCAGUGACGAAGCCUAGGGCGUGAGCCCGGGUCGAACGGCCUCUAGUGCAGAUC
rnacentral:rRNA from 1 species